AACGAACGCUGGCGGCAGGCCUAAAACAUGCAAGUUGAACGGCUGUAGCAAUACAGCAGUAGCGCAAGGGUGAGUAAUGUAUGGGAACGUAUCUUUUGGUGGGGAAUAUUCUUUGGAAACGAAGAGCAAUACCGCAUAAGCCCUACGGGGGAAAGAUUUAUCGCCGAUUGAGCGGCCCAUAUUGGAUUAGCUAGUUGGUUAGGUAACGGCUGACCAAGGCUGUGAUCCAUAGCUGGUCUGAGAGGACGAUCAGCCACACUGGGACUGAGACACGGCCCAGACUCCUACGGGAGGCAGCAGUGGGGGAUAUUGCACAAUGGGGGAAACCCUGAUGCAGCGACGCCGCGUGAGGGAAGACGGUUUUUCGGAUUGUAAACCUCUGUCUUCGGGGACGAACAAAUGACGGUACCCGAGGAGGAAGCCACGGCUAACUACGUG
rnacentral:rRNA from 1 species